GACGAACGCUGGCGGCGUGCUUAACACAUGCCAGUCGAACGGAAAGGCCCUGCUUUUGUGGGGUGCUCGAGUGGCGAACGGGUGAGUAACACGUGAGUAACCUGCCCUUGACUUUGGGAUAACUUCAGGAAACUGGGGCUAAUACCGGAUAGGAGCUCCUGCUGCAUGGUGGGGGUUGGAAAGUUUCGGCGGUUGGGGAUGGACUCGCGGCUUAUCAGCUUGUUGGUGGGGUAGUGGCUUACCAAGGCUUUGACGGGUAGCCGGCCUGAGAGGGUGACCGGCCACAUUGGGACUGAGAUACGGCCCAGACUCCUACGGGAGGCAACGGUGGGGAAUAUUGCACAAUGGGCGGAAGCCUGAUGCAGCAACGCCGCGUGCGGGAUGACGGCCUUCGGGUUGUAAACCGCUUUCGCCUGUGACGAAGCGUGAGUGACGGUAAUGGGUAAAGAAGCACCGGCUAACUACGUG
rnacentral:rRNA from 1 species